AUUGAACGCUGGCGGCAGGCCUAACACAUGCAAGUCGAGCGGAUGAAGGGAGCUUGCUCCUGGAUUCAGCGGCGGACGGGUGAGUAAUGCCUAGGAAUCUGCCUGGUAGUGGGGGAUAACGUCCGGAAACGGGCGCUAAUACCGCAUACGUCCUGAGGGAGAAAGUGGGGGAUCUUCGGACCUCACGCUAUCAGAUGAGCCUAGGUCGGAUUAGCUAGUUGGUGGGGUAAAGGCCUACCAAGGCGACGAUCCGUAACUGGUCUGAGAGGAUGAUCAGUCACACUGGAACUGAGACACGGUCCAGACUCCUACGGGAGGCAGCAGUGGGGAAUAUUGGACAAUGGGCGAAAGCCUGAUCCAGCCAUGCCGCGUGUGUGAAGAAGGUCUUCGGAUUGUAAAGCACGUUAAGUUGGGAGGAAGGGCAGUAAGUUAAUACCUUGCUGUUUUGACGUGAACAACAGAAUAAGCACCGGCUAACUUCGUGC
rnacentral:rRNA from 1 species